GGAGAGAUGCGAGAGUGGUUUAAUCGGACGGACUCGAAAUCCGUUGUGCUAAUUUAGCACCGAGGGUUCGAAUCCCUCUUUCUCCG
rnacentral:tRNA from 3 species